rnacentral:rRNA from 1 species
GUAACAAGGUCUCCGUAGGUGAACCUGCGGAGGGAUCAUUACACAAAUAUGAAGGCGGGCUGGAACCUCUCGGGGUUACAGCCUUGCUGAAUUAUUCACCCUUGUCUUUUGCGUACUUCUUGUUUCCUUGGUGGGUUCGCCCACCACUAGGACAAACAUAAACCUUUUGUAAUUGCAAUCAGCGUCAGUAACAAAUUAAUAAUUACAACUUUCAACAACGGAUCUCUUGGUUCUGGCAUCGAUGAAGAACGCAGCGAAAUGCGAUAAGUAGUGUGAAUUGCAGAAUUCAGUGAAUCAUCGAAUCUUUGAACGCACAUUGCGCCCUUUGGUAUUCCAAAGGGCAUGCCUGUUCGAGCGUCAUUUGUACCCUCAAGCUUUGCUUGGUGUUGGGCGUCUUGUCUCUAGCUUUGCUGGAGACUCGCCUUAAAGUAAUUGGCAGCCGGCCUACUGGUUUCGGAGCGCAGCACAAGUCGCACUCUCUAUCAGCAAAGGUCUAGCAUCCAUUAAGCCUUUUUUUCAACUUUUGACCUCGGAUCAGGUAG